AUCUUUUUCCAUACACUGGCGACAUCCAGUGGAAGCAGUAGGAACUGCUAGUAUAGUUUUUAGAAUUCUGGCCUGCCCAUAAUAACUCAUGGAACAGACAGUGACUUAAAAAAAAAAAAAAAAAAGGUUAGUCCUCAGGGUUUUGACUGCUAUAUAAGUUCUGUUAUACUUACAGAUAUGAUUCAAACAGUUUUAGAAACUUCAGAGUGUUUUCUAUCCAAAUCUACUAAUAAUAUGCAUAUCUUAUAUUCUGGGGAUGAGUAGAACGAAGUUGAAAUUGGGCAUGCUAUUUUUCCAUAAGUGAAAAAUCUGCCCCCUAUCCUAGAGGAGUGUAAGGGCUGUGUUUUCAUGUAGGUUUACCCUGCCGGGACGUUUUGAUAACUAUGUAAACCCUCCCCUCCAAAAAUGAAAUGCUAAUUAGCUGCUAAUGCGGCCAUCAUCUAGAACUACAAAUGCCUGUCUCAAGCUUAACAACACUCACCAGGGCCAUGAAGAUCUGGACGAUACUGCCAAGUCGAGGUAAAGGUAAGACUCUCUGGAUUAACUAUCUAAUGUUAGCCUCAUUUAGUAAAUCAUAAAUUGGCUAAAGUUGUUUUAAAUUGACUUAUGUUAACUGUCUUGGGCAAGUUUUAAAUUGAAAUUGCCUGUUAUCUAGUUAUCAACAUUAGCCUGGCUAGAUGGCUACAUUAACCGUUUGUUUCUCUAGCCAUUUAAAUGCAUGAGAAAUUAAUUAAAACAAGUUUAGAUGUCUUUGGCUUUUUAUAAACGAAGUCUAGCUUGCUACUUAACUUAGAUGGUGAAGCUAGGGCUAGGCAUUCUUUAUGUGUGUUUGUGGGUGAGGGGUGGGUAGCCUACUUGACUUAUAGCUACCCAAGCUAGCUGUAUUAUGUUAGUCUGUCUUUUUGGGAGGUUUCAGAGAUGGACUGAUUAGCAUCCUCUUGAGUCAAGUGUGCUUAAUUUACUGUGGGAAAACAUUGUUUGCUGUUAUCGCCUGAACAGAUCAUUAGUAUAGCUAGUAUGCAAUGUUAUGUAACCUUAUUUAGUCCUACCUACUAUGGUGGGUUUUAAAUUAAUUGGUACUCGCACAUUUAUUUAUUAGGUAGAAUUACUGUUAUGUUAUUGAUGCCAAAUUGCGAACCUUAUUUGCACCUUCUCUAUUCCAGAACCAGUGGGUGUGCCUGAGUCUUGCCACCUCUCAACUAAGUAAGCGGUUUCAACCUGAAACACUAUUCUCCUGCUUUGGUCUGUUUAAGACAUUGCAGGAAGACGUUGCAUGGGUUUAUUGAUGUAUAAGGCAUGCUCCACUCAAGUUGAACUUGUUGACUGAUACCAUGGCGGCUGCUAAGAAGGCAGCAGCUGCGAACCAGAAGACUGCAGCCCUGGUCCACACCUGCCCUGUCUGUCGGUUGAGUAGUAUUGGUUAGUACUGUAUGUGCCUUUAGUUUCCUCUCCAUGUGUGUGGUACGGUCUUUCAUAUGGUUAGUUGUUUUUUGUAUUGCUUAGUUCAUAAUUUGCCAAGUUUUGAAUUCAAUCUAAGCCACAGAUGAACUUCCUCCAUUUUGUACUUGAUGUUUAUAGAUUCAGACCCGAAGACGUUCAAGCAGCACUUUGAGAGCAAGCAUUCCAAGUCUCCAGUGUUCCCAGUACUGGUUGAUGUGCAGGCCUAAGGACGCACAUACACCAGCUGUAGGUCCAUUUUGAGUACGCACGAUGACCACAAAUUGAAUGCUGCAACAGACGGAAUGACGUCAUGGGACACACAUGGAGACCCCGAGUAUGACUGGACAUGGGCCUAAAAGGGCUGCAGAAGCACACAAGCACCCCAUUUUAUGUUUAUUCCAUGGUCAACCAGCUCUAGUUAACCAUUACUCCAGACUAUACCUUUUUAUGGUCCCUCAACUUUCAACACUUCGAGAGUUUCAAUCUUAUCUCUAUAAACCCACCCUACCUUCACACAUUUUCCCUAUGCUGCUUCCUUCACUUGUUCUUCUCCUGAUUUGAUAACAUCUAGACUCAGUAACAUGUUUAAAAGUGUUGUGGUGUACUGAUCUUGCUACCUUUUUUUUUCACCUGUGUACUGUUGUCCUGCUGCUUAUUCUGGGGUUCAGACUGAAUGCAGUGGUAAAUAUUCUGCUCAUAAUUGACAGCAGCAACAUGGACCUGUUAAAUUGAUAAGAAGGGUGUUGAUAUAGCUGCGUUUAGGCAUGGCUUCCUUGUUUUGAGUAUGUGUGUUUCUCAUUCUCCAGGAGUUAGCUAGGUUUUAUAUAAAAUACUAUUUCAAUUUGUUUAUAUUAUACUACCAAAAUCACAAUAUUCUGUUUUACACUGUUAUUUGUACUAGUCUAAUUCCUAAAAUGGAAAAGCAGAAUCUGUGCGCUCUCAGAUAAUAAUAUAGUUCAUAUGGUGCUCUUCGACGUUCCAGGUUUGUGACGUUGAUGAUUAAAUCAUUUAAAUGUUGGCUUAAAUUCAGAGGUUUAUAUGUUAUGCAUUGUUUACUAUUUUGAUUUCUUAAACAAUGUAAUUGUUGGAGUUCAGGUGUGAUGUGAUUUGAUGGGUGACUAGGUACAUUGUCAAAUAAAUACACUUAUUCAUAAUGGA